CGGAGCGUAGCUCAGCUUGGUAGAGCACCAGCUUUGGGAGCUGGCUGUCGCAGGUUCAAAUCCUGUCGCUCCGACCA
rnacentral:tRNA from 4 species